UACGAAGGGGGCUAGCGUUGUUCGGAAUUACUGGGCGUAAAGCGCACGUAGGCGGACUUUUAAGUCAGGUGUGAAAUCCCGGGGCUCAACCUCGGAACUGCAUUUGAAACUGGAAGUCUUGAGAUCAGGAGAGGUUAGCGGAAUACCGAGUGUAGAGGUGAAAUUCGUAGAUAUUCGGUGGAACACCAGUGGCGAAGGCGGCUAACUGGACUGAUACUGACGCUGAGGUG
rnacentral:rRNA from 1 species